rnacentral:misc_RNA from 1 species
CUGACCUUAGCCAUUCUGACUGG